rnacentral:rRNA from 1 species
CCCGUAACGAUCCAGUCGUUCGCUCCGAUCGGCCAGAGUGCCGCACGGCUGAGAAACACGGGGAAACCUACUCUGAGGUACGGAACAACGUUUGGAAACGAUGGCAUACAGCGUAUAAGGCCUGCGGGGGAUUCGCUACGCCUUGGGAUGGCGCCGCGGUCGAUUAGCUAGUUGGUGAGGUAAGAGCUCACCAACGCGACGAUCGAUAGCUGGUCUGAGAGGAUGAACAGCCACACUGGGACUGAGACACGGCCCAGACUCCUACGGGAGGCAGCAGUGGGGAAUAUUGGACAAUGGGCGCAAGCCUGAUCCAGCCAUGCCGCGUGAGUGAUGAAAGCGUUCGGGUUGUAAAGCUCUUGCAGGUGGGACGAACAUGACGGUAGGACCAGAAGAAGACCCGGCUAACUUCGUGCCAGCAGCCGCAGUAAUUCGAAGGGCGCUACGGUUGUUCGGAAUUACUGGGCGUAAAGCGCGCGUAGGCGGUCAUGCCAGUCAGAGGUGAAAGCCCAGGGCUCAACCCUGGAACGGCCUUUGAUACAGCAUGACUUGAGUUCGGGACAGGGGUAUGGAAUUCCCAGUGUAGAGGUCUAAUUCGUAGAUAUUGGGAAGAACAGCAGUGGCGAAGGCGGUGCCCUGGCCCGAGACUGACGCUCAGGUGCCUUAGCGUCGGGAGCAAAGAGGAAUAGAUACCCUGGUAGUCGACCCCGUUAACGAUGUCUGCUAGAUGUCGGGGCGCUUGCGUCACGGGCUCGCUGGUAACCCAUGAACCAGUGCGCCUGGGGAGUAGGCGCGCAUGCAUUUAACUCAUUCCAAUUCUCGG